rnacentral:rRNA from 1 species
GAUGAACGCUAGCAGCAGGCUUAAUACAUGCAAGUCGAGGGACAGCACAGGUAGCAAUACUGGGUGGUAACCGGCAAACGGGUGCGGAACACGUACACAACCUUCCUUUAAGUGGGGGAUAGCCCAGAGAAAUUUGGAUUAAUACCCCGUAAUAUAGUUGAAUGGCAUCAUUUGAUUAUUAUAGCUACGGCGCUUAAUGAUGGGUGUGCGGCUGAUUAGAUAGUUGGCGGGGUAACGGCCCACCAAGUCUACGAUCAGUAGCUGAUGUGAGAGCAUGAUCAGCCACACGGGCACUGAGACACGGGCCCGACUCCUACGGGAGGCAGCAGUAAGGAAUAUUGGUCAAUGGACGCAAGUCUGAACCAGCCAUGCCGCGUGAAGGAUUAAGGUCCUCUGGAUUGUAAGCUUCUUUUAUUUGGGACGAAAAAGGGCCUUUCUAGGUCAACUGACGGUACCAGAUGAAUAAGCACCGGCUAACUCCGUGCCAGCAGCCGCCGUAAUAC